rnacentral:rRNA from 1 species
CAAUAGCGUAUACUAACGUUGUUGCAGUUAAAAAGCUCGUAGUUGGAUUUGUGGCGGCAGUUGCGGUCCGUACUUUUUCGGUACUGUCGACUGCUGCCAUCCUUGGGUGGAUGCUGUGUGGCAUUAGGUUGUCGUGCAGUGGAUACCCAUCGUUUACUGUGAGAAAAUUAGAGUGUUCAAAGCAGGCUUAAGCCGUUGAAUAUAUUAGCAUGGAAUAAUGAGAUAGGACCCUGGUACUAUUUUGUUGGUUUGCGUGCCAAGGUAAUGAUUAAUAGGGACAGUUGGGGGUAUUCGUAUUCCAUUGUCAGAGGUGAAAUUCUUGGAUUUCUGGAAGACGAACUACUGCGAAAGCAUUUACCAAGGAUGUUUUCAUUG